rnacentral:rRNA from 1 species
UAGGGAACUGAAAGGACGGACCCUUCGGGAGCCUAUACAGGUGUUGCAUGGCUGUCGUCAGCUCGUGUCGUGAGAUGUUCGGUUAAGUCCGCUAACGAGCGCAACCCUCGUCGUAUGUUAUAUGUGUCAUACGAGACUGCCGGUAAAAAGCCGGAGGAAGGUGAGGAUGAUGUCAAGUCAGCAUGACCUUUAUAUCCAGGGCUACACACACGCUACAAUGGUCUGUACAAUGGGUAGCCAAGCCGCGAGGCGGAGCCAAUCCUGAAAGCAGGCCUCAGUUCAGAUUGCAGUCUGCAACUCGACUGCAUGAAGCCGGAGUUGCUAGUAACCGCAGGUCAGCAAUACUGCGGUGAAUACGUUCCCGGGUCUU